rnacentral:lncRNA from 10 species
CUCCAGCUUUAUUCUUUUUGCUUAGGACUGUCUUGGCUAUGCAGGCUCUUUAUGGUUCCAUAUGAAAUUUAAAGUAGUUUUUUCUAAUUCUGUGAAGAAAGUCAAUGGUAGCUUGAUGGGGAUAGCAUCGAAUCUAUAAAUUACUUUGGGCAGUAUACUCAUUUUUACUAUAUUGAUUCUUCCUAUCCAUGAGCAUGGAAUGUUUUUCCAUUUGUUUAUGUCCUCUCUUAUUUCUCUGAGCAGUGGUUUGUAGUUCUCCUUAAAGAGGGCCUUCACAUUUCUUGUAAGUUUUAUUCCUAGGUAUUUGAUUCUCUUUGUAGCAAUUGUGAAUGGGAGUUCACUCAUGAUUUGGCUCUCUGUUUGUCUAUUAUUGGUACAUAGGAAUGCUUGUAAUUUUUGCACAUUGAUUUUGUAUCCCGACACUGUGCUGAAGUUGCUUAUCAGCUUAAGGAAAUUUUGGGCUGAGAUGAUGGGGUUUUCUAAAUAUACAAUCAUGUCAUCUGCAAAGAGAGACAAUUUGACUUCCUCUCUUCCUAUUUGAAUACCCUUUAUUUCUUUCUCUUGCCUGAUUGCCCUGGCCAGAACUUCCAACACUAUGUUGAAUAGGAGUGGUAAGAGAGGGCAUCCUUGCCUUUUGCUGGUUUUGAAAGGGAAUGAUUCCAGCUUUUGCCCAUUCAGUAUGAUAUUGGCUGUGGGUUUGUCAUUAAUAGCUCUUAUUAUUUUGAGAUACGUCCCAUCAAUACCUAGUUCAUUGAGAGUUUUUAGCAAGAAGGGGUGCUGAAUUUUAUCAAAGGCCUUUUCUGUAUCUAUUGAGAUAAUCACGUGGUUUUUGUCAUUGUUUCUGUUUCUGUGAUGGAUUACAUUGAUUGAUUCGCAUAUGUUUUUAUGGUAUGUUUUUAUGUUUAACAUAAUUGAUUUGCAUAUAUUGAAGGCAACUUGAUCAUGGCAGAUAAGCUUUUUGAUGUGCUGCUGGAUUUGAUUUAGCAGUUUAUUUAGGAUAUUGGCCUGAAAUUUUCUUUUUUUGUUGUGCCUCUGCCAGGUUUUGGUAUCAGGAUGAUGCUGGACUCAUAAAAUGAGUUAUGGAGGAGUCCCUCUUUUUCUAUUGUUUGGAAUCGUUUCAGAGGUAAUGGUACCAGCUCCUCUUUGUACCUCUGGUAGAAUUCAGCUGUGAAUCAGUCUGGUCCUGGGCUUUUUUUUUAUUGGUAGGCUAUUAAUUGCUGCCUCAAUUUCAGAACUUAUUAUUGGUCUAUUCAGGGAUUCGACUUCUUUCUGAUUUAGUCUUGGGAAGGUGUCUGUGUCCAGGAAUUUAUCCAUUUCUUCUACAUUUUCUAGUUUAUUUGCAUAGAGGUGUUUAUAGUAUUAUUCUCUGAUGGUAUUUGUAUUUCUGUGAGAUCAGUGGUGACAUCCACUUUAUCAUUUUUUAUUGUGUCUGUUUGAUUCUUCUCUUUUUUCUUCUAUAUUAGUCUGGCCAGCCUUCUGUCUAUUUAGCUGAUCUUUUCAAUAAUCCAGUUCCUGGAGUCAUUCAUUUUUUUGAAGGGUUUUUCAUGUCUCUUUCUCAUUCAGUUCUUCUCUGAUCUUAUUUCUUAUCUUCUGCUAGCUUUUGAAUUUGUUUGCUCUUGGUUCUCUAGUUCUUUUAAUUAUGAUGUCAGGGUGUCAACUUUAGAUCUUUCCCACUUUCACCUGUGGACAUUAAGUGCUAUACAUUUCCCUGUAAACACUGUUUUAGCUGUGCCCCAGAGAUUCUGGUAUGUUGUGUCUUUGUUCUUAUUCGUUUUAAAGAACUUAUUAUUUCUGCCGUUACGUCCUUAUUUACCCAGAAAUCAUUCAGGAGUAGGUUUUUCAGUUUCCAUAUAGUUGUGCAUUUUGAGUGAGUUUCUUAAUACUGAGUUCUAAUUUGAUUGCACUGUGGUCUGAGAGAAUGUUUCUUAUUUUUCCAUUAUUUUGCAUUAACUGAGGAGUGUUUUACUUCCAAUUAUGUGGUCAAUUUUAGAAUGAGUACGAUGUGGUGCUGAGAAGAAUGUAUAUUAUGUUGAUUUGGGUGGAGAAUUGUGUAGAUGUAUAUUAGGUCCACUUGGUCCGGAGCUGAAUUCAAGUCCUGAAUAUCUUUGUUAGCUUUGUGUCUCAUUGAUCUAAUAUUGACAGUGGGGUGUUCAAGUCUUCCACUAUUAUUGUGUGGAAGUCUAAUUCUCUUUGUAGGUCUCUAAGAACUUCCUUUAUGAAUCUCGGUGCUCCUUUAUUGGGUGCAUAUAUAUUUAAGAUAGUUAACUCUUCUUGUUGCAUUGAUCCCUUUACCAUUAGCAAUGGCCUUCUUUGUUUUUUGCUUUUUUUUUUUUUUGUAUUUUUUAGUAGAGAUGGGGUUUCUCCUUCACUUUUGAAGCUUAGUUUCGCUGUAUAUGAAAUUCUGAAUUGGGAGGCUGGAGCCAAGAUGGCCAAAUAGGAACCGCUCCGGUCUACAGUUUCCAGCGUGAGCGAUGCAGAAGAUGGGUGAUUUCUGCAUUUCCAUCUGAGGUACCGGGUUCAUCUCACUAGGGAGUGCCAGACAGUGGGUGCAGGACAGUGGGUGCAGCGCACCAUGCGUGAGCCAAAGCAGGGCGAGGCAUUGCCUCACUUGGGAAGCGCAAGGGGUCAGGGAGUUCCCUUUCCUAGUCAAAGAAAGGGGUGACAGAUGGCACCUGGAAAAUUGGGUCACUCCCACCCCAAUACUGCGCUUUUCCGACGGGCUUAAAAAACGGUGCACCAGGAGAUUAUAUCCCGCACUUGGCUCGGAGGGUCCUACGCCCACAGAGUCUCACUGAUUGCUAGCACAGCAGUGUGAGAUCAAACUGCAAGGUGGCAGCCAGGCUGGGGGAGGGGCACCCGCCAUUGCGCAGGCU